rnacentral:rRNA from 1 species
CGCUCAACGGAUAAAAGGUACUCCGGGGAUAACAGGCUGAUACCGCCCAAGAGUUCAUAUCGACGGCGGUGUUUGGCACCUCGAUGUCGGCUCAUCACAUCCUGGGGCUGAAGUAGGUCCCAAGGGUAUGGCUGUUCGCCAUUUAAAGUGGUACGCGAGCUGGGUUUAGAACGUCGUGAGACAGUUCGGUCCCUAUCUGCCGUGGGCGUUGGAAGAUUGAGAGGGGUUGCUCCUAGUACGAGAGGACCGGAGUGAACGCACCACUGGUGUUCGGGUUGUCAUGCCAAUGGCAUUGCCCGGUAGCUAAGUGCGGAAAAGAUAAGCGCUGAAAGCAUCUAAGCGCGAAACUUGCCUCAAGAUGAGUCUUCCCUGGGCCUUUAAGGCCCCUGAAGGAACGUUUAAGACUAAGACGUUGAUAGGCUGGGUGUGUAAGUGCAGCGAUGCAUUGAGCUAACCAGUACUAAUGAUCCGUGAGGCUUAACCUUACAACACCGAAGGUGUUU